rnacentral:misc_RNA from 1 species
UCUCCGUUGGUGAACCAGCGGAGGGAUCAUUACAGAGUUGCAAAACUCCCAAACCAUUGUGAACGUUACCUAUCCCGUUGCUUCGGCGGGCGGCCCGGGCCCCGCGCCCGGCGCCCCCCGGCCCCCCGUGGGCGCCCGCCCGUGCUAACCCAAACCGUUGAAUUGCAUGGCCUCUCUGAGUCUUCUGUACUGAAUAAGUCAAAACUUUCAACAACGGAUCUCUUGGUUCUG